rnacentral:rRNA from 1 species
UACGAAGGGGGCUAGCGUUGCUCGGAAUCAAUGGGCGUAAAGCGCACGUAGGCGGCUUUCUAAGUCAGGGGUGAAAUCCUGGAGCUCAACUCCAGAACUGCCUUUGAUACUGGAGGGCUUGAGUCCGGGAGAGGUGAGUGGAACUCCGAGUGUAGAGGUGAAAUUCGUAGAUAUUCGGAAGAACACCAGUGGCGAAGGCGGCGAUCUGGGUCGAUACUGACGCUGAGGUGCGAAAGCGUGGGGAGCAAACAGG